rnacentral:rRNA from 1 species
CAACCUGCCGUCUACUCUUGGACAGCCUUCUGAAAGGAAGAUUAAUACAAGAUGGCAUCAUGAGUCCGCAUGUUCUCAUGAUUAAAGGUAUUCCGGUAGACGAUGGGGAUGCGUUCCAUUAGAUAGUAGGCGGGGUAACGGCCCACCUAGUCUUCGAUGGAUAGGGGUUCUGAGAGGAAGGUCCCCCACAUUGGAACUGAGACACGGUCCAAACUCCUACGGGAGGCAGCAGUGAGGAAUAUUGGUCAAUGGGCGAGAGCCUGAACCAGCCAAGUAGCGUGAAGGAUGACUGCCCUAUGGGUUGUAAACUUCUUUUAUAAAGGAAUAAAGUCGGGUAUGGAUACCCGUUUGCAUGUACUUUAUGAAUAAGGAUCGGCUAACUCCGUGCCAGCAGCCGCGGUAAUACGGAGGAUCCGAGCGUUAUCCGGAUUUAUUGGGUUUAAAGGGAGCGUAGAUGGAUGUUUAAGUCAGUUGUGAAAGUUUGCGGCUCAACCGUAAAAUUGCAGUUGAUACUGGAUAUCUUGAGUGCAGUUGAGGCAGGCGGAAUUCGUGGUGUAGCGGUGAAAUGCUUAGAUAUCACGAAGAACUCCGAUUGCGAAGGCAGCCUGCUAAGCUGCAACUGAC